rnacentral:rRNA from 1 species
CCUACGGGAGGCAGCAGUGGGGAAUAUUGCGCAAUGGGCGAAAGCCUGACACAGCGACGCCGCGUGAGGGAUGAAGGUCUUCGGAUCGUUAACCUCUGUCAGCAGGGAAGAACGGUCACUGUGCUAAUCAGCAGUGAAUUGACGGUACCUGCAAAGGAAGCACCGGCUAACUCCGUGCCAGCAGCCGCGGUAAUACGGAGGGUGCGAGCGUUAAUCGGAAUUACUGGGCUUAAAGCGCUCGUAGGCGGUAUGUCAAGUCAAGGGUGAAAUCCCCGCGCUCAACGUGGGAACUGCCUUUGAAACUGGCAAACUCGAGUGUGUGAGAGGAUAGUGGAAUUCCAGGUGUAGGAGUGAAAUCCGUAGAUAUCGGGAAGAACAUCAGUGGCGAAGGCGACUAUCUGGCACAUAACUGACGCUGAGGAGCGAAAGCGUGGGUAGCGAACAGGAUUAGAUACCCCAGUAGUC